CAGGAUUUGUUCGAAUGAAUCAAGUCAGGAAAAGGUAAAGGAGGUUCAAUUAGAGAAAAUCAGUAACAAUCAGUCAAUCCCUAUUAAAAGGAACAAAUAGUUGGCAAAACCUUAUUUGAAAGAAGAAUUUCUCAUAUAUAAAGCACACAAAUAUCAAACAAUAAGGGGUUGCCAUGCCGAUUAGAAAAGAUCAUCAUAGAAAGAGUUCAAAGACAUAACAAAAGUUCUAGUUCAAUUUAUUGACUCAAAACGAGUCUGAGAGUCCAUGGUUCCAAAGUAGAACCCUAAUCCGAACACCAAAUCAAACUUUCCAAAUAAAAAC
rnacentral:lncRNA from 1 species